GUGCUCACUUAGGCAGCACACAUACUAAAAUUGGAACGAUACAGAGAAGAUUAGCGUAGCCCCUGUGCAAGGAUGACACACAAAUUCAUGAAGUGUUCCAUAUUAAA
ensembl:snRNA U6 U6 spliceosomal RNA